UACGUAGGAGGCAAGCGUUUGUCCGGAUUUACUGGGCGUAAAGAGCGUGUAGGCGGUCCGGUAAGUCCGCUGUGAAAGUCGGGGGCUCAACCCUCGAAUGCCGGUGGAUACUGUCGGGCUAGAGUGCGGAAGAGGCGAGUGGAAUUCCUGGUGUAGCGGUGAAAUGCGCAGAUAUCAGGAGGAACACCUAUUGCGAAGGCAGCUCGCUGGGACGUAACUGACGCUGAGACGCGAAAGCGUGGGGAGCAAACAGG
rnacentral:rRNA from 1 species